rnacentral:rRNA from 1 species
GAUGAACGCUAGCUACAGGCUUAAUACAUGCAAGUCGAGGGGAAACGAUAUUGGAAGCUUGCUUCCGAUAGGCGUCGACCGGCGCACGGGUGAGUAACGCAUAUCCAACCUGCCCACCACUUGGGAAUAACCUUGCGAAAGUAAGACUAACGCCCAAUGAUAUCUCUAGAAGACAUUUGAAACAGAUUAAAGAUUUAUCGCUGAUGGACGGGGAUGCGUCUGAUUAGCUUGUUGGCGGGGUAACGGCCCAGAGAGGCGACGAUCAGUAGGGGUUCUGAGAGGAAGGUCCCCCACAUUGGAACUGAGACACGGUCCAAACUCCUGCGGGAGGCAGCAGUGAGGAAUAUUGGUCAAUGGGCGAGAGCCUGAACCAGCCAAGUAGCGUGCAGGAUGACGGCCCUAUGGGUUGUAAACUGCUUUUAUAAGGGAAUAAAGUGAGCCUCGUGAGGCUUUUUGCAUGUACCUUAUGAAUAAGGACCGGCUAAUUCCGUGCCAGCAGCCGCCGUAA